CAGCAGCCGCGGGAAUACGUAGGUCCCGAGCGUUGUCCGGAUUUAUUGGGCGUAAAGCGAGCGCAGGCGGUUAGAUAAGUCUGAAGUUAAAGGCUGUGGCUUAACCAUAGUACGCUUUGGAAACUGUUUAACUUGAGUGCAGAAGGGGAGAGUGGAAUUCCAUGUGUAGCGGUGAAAUGCGUAGAUAUAUGGAGGAACACCGGUGGCGAAAGCGGCUCUCUGGUCUGUAACUGACGCUGAGGCUCGAAAGCGUGGGGAGCAAACAGGAUUAGAUACCCCGGUAGUCCCUGUCUCUUAUACA
rnacentral:rRNA from 1 species